CCUACGGGAGGCAGCAGUGAGGAAUAUUGGUCAAUGGGCGGAAGCCUGAACCAGCCAAGUAGCGUGCAGGAUGACGGCCCUACGGGUUGUAAACUGCUUUUAUACGGGAAUAACGCGCCUUACGUGUAGGGCUUUGCAUGUACCGUAUGAAUAAGGACCGGCUAAUUCCGUGCCAGCAGCCGCGGUAAUACGGAAGGUCCGGGCGUUAUCCGGAUUUAUUGGGUUUAAAGGGAGCGUAGGCCGCAUGUCAAGCGUGCUGUGAAAUGUCCGGGCUCAACCCGGGCCUUGCAGCGCGAACUGGCGUGCUUGAGUCCGCGGAAAGCAGGCGGAAUUCGUCGUGUAGCCGUGAAAUGCUUAGAUAUGACGAAGAACCCCGAUUGCGAAGGCAGCUUGCUGCAGCGGAACUGACGCUGAUGCUCGAAAGCGCGGGUAUCGAACAGGAUUAGAUACCCCAGUAGUC
rnacentral:rRNA from 1 species